rnacentral:rRNA from 1 species
UACGAAGGGGGCUAGCGUUGCUCGGAAUCACUGGGCGUAAAGCGCACGUAGGCGGCUUUCUAAGUCAGGGGUGAAAUCCUGGAGCUCAACUCCAGAACUGCCUUUGAUACUGGAAAGCUUGAGUUCGGGAGAGGUGAGUGGAACUGCGAGUGUAGAGGUGAAAUCCGUAGAUAUCUGGAGGAAUACCGGUGGCGAAGGCGGCAUCCUGGACCGGCAUUGACGCUGAUGAGCGAAAGCUAGGGGAGCAAACGGG